AAGUCGUAACAAGGUUUUCGUAGGUGAACCUGCGGAAGGAUCAUUAAUGAAUACACAAGAGUGCUCGCAAGAGGCUCGUUUCAUUUAAUCACACACACUUUGUGCACUUGAAAUCAGACUCGGCGCCCGCAAGGGCAAAGAGGCUCCUUUCACAACACUUUGCUAUUGAAGGAACACGAAUGUAAAUUCAUAACAAACGAAAGUACAACUUUCAGCAACGGAUUUCUUGGCUCUC
rnacentral:misc_RNA from 1 species